rnacentral:misc_RNA from 1 species
ACAAACUUGGUCAUUUAGAGGAAGUAAAAGUCGUAACAAGGUUUCCGUAGGUGAACCUGCGGAAGGAUCAUUAACGUAUCUACGAUGGGGUGCGGAGCGCCCUGCUCCGGUCGAAUGGCCGUGCAGCGGGUGCGCCGCCCCCGUCCCACCUCACAAACCCACUGUGAACAUUCACGGCGGAGGGGGCUCGGUCUGCCACCGUGUCCCCGAUGCCGAAUACCCAAACUCCAGUCGCAAAGAAUGUCGUGCGGACGCAGUGCCGCCUAAAACAUGUAACAACUUUCAACAACGGAUCUCUUGGCUCUCGCAUCGAUGAAGAACGCAGC